UACAGAGGGGGCAAGCGUUAUUCGGAAUUAUUGGGCGUAAAGGGCGCGUAGGCGGCCUGGCAAGUGACGGGUGAAAGCCCUCGGCUCAACCGAGGAACUGCCUGUCAUACUGCCGGGCUUGAGUCCGGGAGAGGUGAGUGGAAUUCCCAGUGUAGCGGUGAAAUGCGUAGAUAUUGGGAGGAACACCAGUGGCGAAGGCGGCAUCCUGGACCGGCAUUGACGCUGAGGCGCGAAAGCCAGGGGAGCAAACGGG
rnacentral:rRNA from 1 species